GGUGCCAUAGCCUAGUGGUUAAGGCGAUAGACUAGUAAUCUUUUGGGAUUUUCCCGCGCAGGUUCGAAUCCUGCCGACGACG
rnacentral:tRNA from 1 species